UACAGAGGGUGCGAGCGUUGUCCGGAAUCACUGGGCGUAAAGGGCGCGUAGGUGGCGACCCAAGUCCGUGGUGAAAGCUCGCCGCUUAACGGCGAGUCGGCCACGGAGACUGGGUGGCUCGAGCACUGUAGGGGCAGAUGGAAUUCCGGGUGUAGCGGUGGAAUGCGUAGAGAUCCGGAAGAACACCAGUGGCGAAGGCGGUCUGCUGGGCAGUUGCUGACACUGAGGCGCGACAGCGUGGGGAGCAAACAGG
rnacentral:rRNA from 1 species